rnacentral:rRNA from 1 species
GAUGAACGCUAGCUACAGGCUUAACACAUGCAAGUCGAGGGACCGGCGCACGGGUGAGUAACACGUAUCCAACCUGCUCUUUACUCGGGGAUAGCCUUUCGAAAGAAAGAUUAAUACCCGAUAUAAAGGAUGGGGAUGCGUUCCACUAGGUUGUUGGUGAGGUAACGGCCCACCAAGCCUUCGAUGGAUAGGGGUUAUGAGAGGAAGCUCCACCAGAUUGGAACUGCGACACGGUCCAAACUCCUACGGGAGGCAGUAGUGAUUAAUAUGUGUCAAGAGGUGUUAGCCUGAACCAGCCAAGUAGCGUGAAGGAUGAAGGCUUAUGGGUCUUAAACUUCUUUUAUAUAAGAAUAGGUAUUAUAUGAAUAAGGAGCGGCUAACUCCGUGCCAGCAGCCGCGGUAAUAC